rnacentral:rRNA from 1 species
UACAGAGGGUGCGAGCGUUAAUCGGAAUGACUGGGCGUAAAGGGCGCGUAGGUGGUUGACUGAGUUGGAUGUGAAAUUCCCGGGCUUAACCUGGGAGGGUCAUCCAAUACUGGUUGACUAGAGUACGGUAGAGGGAAGUGGAAUUUCCGGUGUAGCGGUGAAAUGCGCAGAUAUCAGGAAGAACACCGAUGGCGAAGGCAGCUCUCUGGGACGGUACUGACGCUGAGACGCGAAAGCGUGGGGAGCGAACAGG